UGUGCCAGAAUCAAAAUGACGAGGAAGCUACUUGGGAGUCGGAGGAUGAUAUGCAUGCAAGAUACCCGAAUCUUUUUGAUCCUGUGAAUUACGAUUUAGGAGGUACAAUCUUUGCCCUAUUCUUUUUACCUUCUCUUUAGUAAGAUUAAUCGUGCUUACCUGUGUCCCCCGCCAUCAUUCGGGGAUGAAUGAUUCCAAGGGGGGAUAAUGUAACACCCCG
rnacentral:lncRNA from 1 species